rnacentral:piRNA from 1 species
UAUAUACUCAGGACAGAGCUUGGUGACCAGG